rnacentral:lncRNA from 1 species
UCAUAUUAGCCAAUGGGUUUGUAACGUCUGUUACUCCUAUACAGGGUAUUGGAACAGCUGCACCUACUGCUUUCCUAUCCCUAUCUUUUAUUUGUUUUCUUUCUCAGUUUUCUUUUAACUUAAUUUUCAUUAAUCAACUUACAAAAAAACUUAAUUGUGUCAAUCUUUUCUUCUGAUAAUAUUGUGAUUCAGGAUUUGAGGACUGGGAGGAUGAUUGACAUGGGGCAUGAGUUUUAAGGUCUCUG